UCCGGAGUCGUCUAACGGUAAGGACGUCUGCCUUUGGAGCAGAAAACUCUUGGUCCGAAUCCAAGCUCCGGAG
rnacentral:tRNA from 1 species